rnacentral:rRNA from 1 species
UACGUAGGGUGCAAGCGUUAAUCGGAAUUACUGGGCGUAAAGCGUGCGCAGGCGGUGAUGUAAGACAGAUGUGAAAUCCCCGGGCUCAACCUGGGAACUGCAUUUGUGACUGCAUCGCUGGAGUACGGCAGAGGGGGAUGGAAUUCCGCGUGUAGCAGUGAAAUGCGUAGAGAUGUGGAGGAACACCGAUGGCGAAGGCAGCCUCCUGGGCCAGCACUGACGCUCAUGCACGAAAGCGUGGGGAGCAAACAGG